UAUUAAAAAUUUUAUUUAUUUUUGUUGUUAAAAACUAAAGUGAAUGAUGAAAUAACCAAAUAUUUGCAUGUGGCGUGUCACAUAUACCUCAUGUUAAUUACAUGGAUCAAUUUUUAACAAUAACAAUAGAUAAAUUUUUUUAACA
rfam:Gossypium hirsutum cultivar TM-1 unplaced genomic scaffold scaffold683.1, whole genome shotgun sequence